rnacentral:rRNA from 1 species
AGUUUGAAUGGCUAGCCAAAGAACGUGAAAGCCGUGUACGUGAAAACGACGCUGACCUUAUAUGUGUUUUAUCGAGUAGGACGGGGCACGAGAAACCCUGUUUGAAUCUGGCUGGACCACCAGCCAAGGCUAAAUAUAAUAUACGAUCGAUAGUGAACUAGUACAGCGAUGGAAAGGUGAAAAGAACCCCGGGAGGGGAGUGAAAUAGAUCCUGAAAUUUAGUGCCUACAAGGAGUCGGAGCCGGCUUGUCCGGUGACGGCGUGCUUUUUGUAGAACGAUCCAGCGAGUUAAUUUCGUGCGCAAGGUUAAGUUAGUUAACGGAGCCACAGUGAAAGCGAGCCUGAAUAGGGCGUUUAGUGUACGGAAUUAGACCCGAAACCGGGUGACCUAACCAUGAGCAGGUUGAAGCUACUGUAACAGGUAGUGGAGGGCCGAACCAGGAUACGCAGCAAAGUGUUUGGAUGACUUGUGGUUAGCGGUGAAAUGCCAAUCGAACUCGGAGAUAGCUGGUUCUCCUCGAAAUAGCUUUAGGGCUAGCGUCGUGUUAGUAGCACAUGGGGGUAGAGCUCUGUAAAGGACUGGGGCGGGCAACUGUACCCACCCUUAACAAACUACGAAUACCAUGUGUGUAAUCACGGCAGUUAGAACAUCGGUGCUAAGAUCGGUGCUCAAAAGGGAAACAGCCCAGACCAUCAUCUAAGGUCCCUAAAUUAACGUUCAGUGGGAAACAAGGUGAGAUUUCUUAAACAGCUAGGAUGUUGGCUUAGAAGCAGCCAUUCAUUUAAAGAGUGCGUAACAGCUCACUAGUCAAGAGAUCUUGCGUGGAAAAUGUAACGGGGCUAAAACGUUAUACCGAAGAUAUGGAUGUCAGAUUUAUCUGGCGUGGUAGAGGAGCGUUCCUAUCAGCAGUGAAGUCGAAUCGGAAGGUUCGGUGGAGCGGUAGGAAGUGAGAAUGCUGGAAUGAGUAACCAUAAGAGAGGUGAGAAUCCUGUCGGCCGUAAGAGCAAGGUUUCCUGAGCUAUGGUAAUCAUCUCAGGGUUAGUCGGGCCUAAGCCGAGGCGCAGAGCGUAGGCGAUGGACAUCAGGUUAAUAUUCCUGAACCGGUUAAGUUUUGUACACUGUUCACGGGGAAGUAAUCGAAGCGGAUUCAUGGUUUAUCCGUCCAACCGAGCGGGAACGCAAAGGGAGUGAAAGUGAUUCUUCGGAGUCGCGAUUUUGGUGAAAGCCCUGGCUAGAAAAGCAGGUGUACGCGUGGACUUAGCCGCCCGUACCGCAAACCAACACAGGUGCUCGAGUCGAGUAGACUCAGGCUUACGAGAGAACCUUCGCUAAGGAACUCGGCAAUACAGCGACCGUAACUUCGGGAUAAGGUCUGCCCCCACUUCGGUGGAUAUCAGCCGCGUUCACUCAGUGAAUAUUAGGUUAAAGAGUACAUUUUUAAUCACAAAACGAAUUUUCUGAGAUAGAGCAAACGAAUUGUUCUUUUGAACGCGAACCUCUGACGUCUAACGAUGUGGGGGCCGCAGCAAAAGAGCCCACGGAACUGUUUAUCAAAAACACAGGUCUCUGCUAACACGAAAGUGGAUGUAUAGGGGCUGACUCCUGCCCGGUGCCGGAAGGUUAAGGGGAGUGCUUCACGGUGCAAACUGAAGCCCCGGUGAACGGCGGCGGUAACUAUAACCGUCCUAAGGUAGCGAAAUUCCUUGUCAGGUAAGUUCUGACCCGCACGAAUGGAGUAAUCAUGUGGGCACUGUCUCAGCGAAGGACUCGGUGAAAGUGCAUUGGCGGUAAAGAUGCCGUCUGUCCGUACCAGGACGAAAAGACCCCAUGGAGCUUUACUACAGCUUUACAUUGAAUAUGGUUUCAAUAUGUGUAGCAUAGGUGGGAGACUUUGAAGCAGAUACGCCAGUAUUUGUGGAGUCACCAAGUGAAAUACCACCCUUGUUGUGAUUGUGUUCUCACGCUGACCGUUAUCCGGUUAGCGGACCGUGUAUGGUGGGUAGUUUAACUGGGGCGGUUGCCUCCUAAAGAGUAGCGGAGGCGUUCAAAGGUUGGCUAACUUCGGAUGGAAAUCGAAGUGAUAGUGUAUGCGCAU